rnacentral:rRNA from 1 species
ACGUGUUGAGUACACGGGGUAUAACCAACCUAUAACACUGGGAUCGACUUCAUGGAAACCGUAGCUUAUACCGCAUAAUAUAUUGCACCUGCAUGGAGUCUGUAGACUACAGACCGUUUCUGCUGAACACUCUAUAUAUGGAUCCGCUCCGCAUUACCUAUUUGGUAAGGUAACGGCUUACCAUUGCAACAAUGCGUAACCGACCUGAUAGGGUGAUCGAUGANCUGAAACUGUACCACACGGUUCAUACUCCUACGGGAGGCAGCACUACUGAAUCUUCCGCAAUGGGCGAAAGCCUGACGGAUCAACGCCGCGUGACUGAUGAAGGCCUUCCGAUCCUUCAACUCUGUUAUUAUGGAAAAACCAAUGUGCAACCAACUAUGCUCGUCUUGACAGGACCUAAUCAUAUAUCCACGGGUAACUACGUACCAGCAGACGCGGUAAUGCUCAUGUGGCAAGCUUCUAUCCAGAAUUAUUGGGCCUACAGCGGUCGUAGGCGGCUUUUUANCUCUGAUGUGAAAGCCCACGGGUCAACCUCCGAGGGUCAUUGGAAACUGGAAAACUUUAGUGCACAAGAGGAAAGUGGAAUUCCAUGUGUAUCGGCGAAAUGCGCACAGAUAUGGAGGAACACCAUAGGCGAACGCGACUUUCUGGUCUGUANCUGACNUGAUGUGCGAUACGAGCGGAUCAACAGGAUUACAUACCNUGGUNUCCACCCGUAACGAUGAGUGCUAACUGUUGGNNGCNCUUCCCUUACUGCUNCACUAACGCAUAANCACUCGACCUGCGAGUACGACCGCAGGCUNAACUCAAAGNUUGACAGCGACNCGCACAGCNNAGGAGCAUGNGUUUANUUCNAGCUACCCNNUAACUUACCAAUCUGANUCCCUGACCCUCUAGANAUACAG